rnacentral:lncRNA from 1 species
UGGUUCAUAGAUGGUCUAGAAAUAUUUCCAUGUGAACUUCCCAUUAGUUUGAGUUUGGAUCUCACGUAUAUGAUUAGACAAAGUCUCAAUCCAACCUAGAUCAGAUUAGAUCUGAUGAAAAUAUUAAGGAAAAACAAAUAAUUGCAGCAUUUUAAGGUCGGACACGAGUCUUUCUAACUAAAAAGAGAUCUCAUCCAUGAAGUUACCAGGUUAUAGCUCUGAGUUUAAAUCUAGGUCCUUAUUGCCACCGAAAAUUGGCCCAACCCAUGUGAC